GGUGACAAUGAUCCUGCAGAGCCCGUCCUUCCGGGAGGAGCUGGAGAGCCUGAUCCAGGAGCAGAUGAAGAAGGGGAACAACUCGUCUCACAUCUGGGCGCUGCGGCAGAUCGCCGACUUCAUGGCCACCACGUCCCCUGCCACCCUGCCCACCUCCCCCAUGGGGCUGGCAUCGGUCACCCCCAUA